rnacentral:misc_RNA from 1 species
GAAAUGCGAUACGUAGUGUGAAUUGCAGAAUUCCGUGAAUCAUCGAAUCUUUGAACGCAUAUUGCGGUCGAGGCUUCGGCCGAGACCAUGUCUGCCUCAGCGUCGGUGUGAACCCUCAUCCCCCCUCACGGGCUCGGAUGGACCUGGCCUCCUCAGCCUCGCGGCUGGGCUGGCUGAAAUUCGGAGGUUUAAGCUUGGGCCUGUCUGGCAACAGCAAGGUAGGUAGUUUACUACUCCAGCUGAUGCUUUGGGCACUCGUUCGAACCCGCAGGAAUUCUCACCCUUUCGACCUGAGAUCAGGCAAGGCUACCCGCUGAACUUAA